CCUCUUUUUUUUUCGAAACCCCACUCCAGCGCCAAGCCAUUCUCUACUGACAACCUCCAAAACCGGCGUCGUUCACUGUCGACGUCCAAAAUUGCCAGUUGGACCAUUCACCUUCUCUCUCCCAUCUUGCCAGCGACCUCCAAAAAUUGUUGUCCUCCACAGUCGAUCUCGAAAAUCGCCGGUUGGACCAUUCUAUGCUUUUUCAAUCUCAUUUAUUGCAUUCAUAAGGAGAUUUCUAGGGUUUUGCAGUGGUUUUCGCCAAAGAAUAAAAGGAUUCAUUGAUGACUACCUAACUUUAGGGUUUCUUCAUGGUUUUUGAAUGAUGAGGUUUCUAGGGUUUCAACGAUAAGCAACACCAGUAAUUUCUUUCUGUCCCUAAAAUCAGGUUUCUAUUUUUAGGCUUCAUGGUCUUCUCAUCAAUCUAGCCGCAUCCUUCUCAAAUCAGCUUUUGGUACAAAUACGUAAAGGAGUUAAUAUCAGCAGAAUAGAAGAUGGCAUGAUUCGGUGUUUGAUAUGUAGACGCAAAGUAGCAAACAUAUACAAUGUAAGACAAAAGGAAAGUUUGCUUCUUCCUAUAUCUGGUGGAGCACAGAUCUGGUCAUGAAUAUUUUCGUGUCAUCGACAAUGUGCAAGGGGGAAAAAGUCUUUAAAAGCUACCAGAAUGCUACAAAGAGGCAGUUCAUAUUAAAUUCUUCACCAAACUCCAAGUUACCUAUGUCUUUAUGGUUACACAAGGCCACUAAUUGGCUGUCAUGUGCUCCUAAUAAAAACCCCCAUUAAGUUCUACUCCUGUUAACCUCUUCAGCAUGUGGAGCCCCAAAAAUUUGGAAUAUCUUCCAAGACUACUCAAGUAUAAGUGAAAAAUAGGCAGCUACCAGAGCACUCAUCGAUGCUUCCAGAUAACAUCCCAAGGCAUCAGCAGCAAAUGACUAAUCAGCAAUUUGAAGCAAGGUAAAGCAUCAAAGCUCCCAGGUAAUGUCGUAAGGGAUCAGCAAAUAAGCAAUCAGCAACUUGAAGCUUAGAGAACAUUAAGUAGCUAGGAGAAACCUAAACUUCCAUAAAUUUCUGAAAUCUGAACCAUCCAGAAAAUUUCACUGGAAAAUUUCAACUUUUUUGCCAUGUUCAUAUUCCACGAAUUACGGAUAUUCUUAUGACCGUGAAGGCAGCACACCCAGGCAUUGCCUAAUUUAGCUCAACUUUUGUUCAUAUUAUCCCAAGAUAGUCACAUAUAUGAUUAGCCAUGCAAACUAUCCAACUAGCAUCCGAAGUUUCCAUCAUCUAAGAAUACACAAAUACACACACACACACAUAUACAUAGACAUGUGUGUGUGUGUACACACACAUAUAUAUAUACAUAUA